ACGAACGCUGGCGGCGUGCUUAACACAUGCAAGUCGAACGGAAAGGCCCUGCUUUUGUGGGGUGCUCGAGUGGCGGACGGGUGAGUAACACGUGAGUAACCUGCCCUUGACUUUGGGAUAACUUCAGGAAACUGGGGCUAAUACCGGAUAGGAGCUCCUGCUGCAUGGUGGGGGUUGGAAAGUUUCGGCGGUUGGGGAUGGAUUCGCGGCUUAUCAGCUUGUUGGUGGGGUAGUGGCUUACCAAGGCUUUGACGGGUAGCCG
rnacentral:rRNA from 1 species